GUUUUAAAGGUAUUGCACCGUGUUGGUAAAAGUCGAAGAGGUAAAAUUAGAUUUCCUUAAUUUUAUAGUUUUUGGAUACACUUAUGAGGGUAGAACGCACCCCCGCCAAAAAAAAAUCGCUCUGAAAUGCCUGUAUUUUCGAGAAAUCGCGUGUUUAGUGUUGAUUUUGGUUAUUUAUCUGGUACUCGAUAAAUACGGCUAAUUCGCUUGAUGUUGAAUAUCUCAUGGAUAAAAUUGUUUCUGAUCUUACUGUUAUAAUGUAAUGAUGAGGCUCAGACAGUCAUUUGUAAGCUUGGUAGUAGCAACUAUUUAAAGGCAGUCACGCAGGGGAUUUCCUGAUUAAUUUCAGCCGCAGAUGGCGACACACAAGUACGGUCACGAAGCUGUUUACCGAGCGGAAUUGUACGUGCGCGGGUGUCCAGUUUCUGUACGUGCGUAUGCGCACCAUUCUCAGUCAUAUCAUGUCACUGCACUGUCAGUGUCAGUAUCAGACCUGCAAAACAGUCUGUCUGAUCUGUCCUGACACUCUAAAUUUGCUCAAGUCAAAUUUUCAGUUUCAAAAUCAAAGUGUCCAGGGCUGUCAGUAUCACUGCAGCGAGUGUCAGCAGGUCAGUGUCCCUGUCAGUGUCACUGCAGCGAGUGUCAGCAGGUCGAGUGUCACUGCAUUGCAAAAAUACAUCAAAGACCAAGCUUUGUGCGCAAGAUAGCAAAUAUAAUUCAAACUUAACGUUCUAAUAAAGCCUCUAGAGACGAUCGGAUAUAUAAUAAAACAAUUACCGGUGACGAGAUCUCGAUAAAGACAAACACCAAAAUUUACACCGCACAUGAAAGUAGACGUGCAAUCGCGAUCGCAGGUUGCAGCAUACAGCAUGCAGCAGUAAUUUUCGGUCUUGUUUACGUUUGGUAGUAUAAAGCGCGGCCGAGUACAACAGCUGUUCAAUUCAGUAGUAUACUAUAACUAGACCCUCUAUAAGAAUCCAGAUUAUAAAUCUACUAACUAAUUUAUAGCUUAUACAGUAUAUUAUUAGAAUGUGAAAAAAAAUAACUGUGCGGUAACAAUGUAGUAUAUUUUCUUUGCUUUUUUAAGAUGCAAUUGACAACACAAGAAACAUACACAGAUUGCGAUAUUGCGCAAUGUGCACGUUUCUUUCGUGCGUACGUAAUGUGAGCUGAUCGCUGAGACAGCUCGAGCGGGGAUAGCGAGCUGGCGAUUCCUAUGCACACGGUUUGAUUUCUAUAUCGUGCGUCUGUGUGUGUGCGUCGCUCGGAAGAGUUCGGACGGCCAUGUUUGAAAUUGGGUGCUGCGGGAAAGACGACCACUUUGGUGUUCGCUUGCCCCUCGAGCACGCGUAGUUUGCAUUAGGCGAAACGGUUUCACAAGGGAGUUGGACGGCGUCAGCGUACAUGACAUUUCUCGUGGCCAAUGAAAUCGCUCGCCACGCGUGUAAGUCUUUAAUAUGUGGUUCCAUGUUGAAAGAACCAAACAACACACUCCCUGUGUCCUGACCUGGGUAUGACUCAUAGGUCAUGACACAAUAACAUAAACAUUGGCUAGUCUUUGUUCAGGCUUAUCAUUACAAAGACUUUACAAACAGAUAUCACGACACUUUCACAGGUAAGGUUCUAUUCAUGUUGAUACAUCACAAAAUAAAGGAAAGUUGGGAAAUUUUCAAAGGACAACACUGUUUUUAAAGGGAAAAACAAAUUUGUCUGGCCGGACAGAUAUCGCCGACUGUAGUUGUCCUUUUCUAGCUUCCAAUGCUAUUUGAAGAAAAUUAGGAAUCAAUUUGGUCUUAGGUCAUCUAGA